UACGGAGGGUGCAAGCGUUGUUCGGAAUCACUGGGCGUAAAGGGCGUGUAGGCGGUCUAUCAAGUCUGGUGUGAAAUCCCCUCGCUCAACGAGGGAACUGCGCCGGAAACUGACAGACUAGAGUACCGGAGAGGAAGGUGGAAUUCCCGGUGUAGCGGUGAAAUGCGUAGAUAUCAGGAAGAACACCCGUGGCGAAGGCGGCUCUCUGGGACGGUACUGACGCUGAGACGCGAAAGCGUGGGGAGCGAACAGG
rnacentral:rRNA from 1 species